GUACGGUUGAAAAUGGUGAAGAAAAUAUUAUGCGAUUACUGUAAUAUAACGUUUGCAGACAACUUAUCAAGUCGUAAUCUACAUUUCAACAGCAACUCGCACAAAAAGAACAGAAGAAAUUAUUUUUCGUUGUAUAAAGUAUAAUUUCAGACGCAAUAACAUUAUUUCUCGAGGAACGUCAAAAACAACCGUGUCGUCGAUUUAGAACUACUGGACAGUGUCAAUUCGGUUCUAACUGUAACUAUUCUCAUUACACCUUUGAACAAUUAAUUAGUCUAAUCAAUCAAG